rnacentral:rRNA from 1 species
GAACGGUGAACACGGAGCUUGCUCUGUGGGAUCAGUGGCGAACGGGUGAGUAACACGUGAGCAACCUGCCCCUGACUCUGGGAUAAGCGCUGGAAACGGCGUCUAAUACUGGAUAUGUGACGUGACCGCAUGGUCUGCGUCUGGAAAGAAUUUCGGUUGGGGAUGGGCUCGCGGCCUAUCAGCUUGUUGGUGAGGUAAUGGCUCACCAAGGCGUCGACGGGUAGCCGGCCUGAGAGGGUGACCGGCCACACUGGGACUGAGACACGGCCCAGACUCCUACGGGAGGCAGCAGUGGGGAAUAUUGCACAAUGGGCGCAAGCCUGAUGCAGCAACGCCGCGUGAGGGACGACGGCCUUCGGGUUGUAAACCUCUUUUAGCAGGGAAGAAGCGAAAGUGACGGUACCUGCAGAAAAAGCGCCGGCUAACUACGUGCCAGCAGCCGCGGUAAUACGUAGGGCGCAAGCGUUAUCCGGAAUUAUUGGGCGUAAAGAGCUCGUAGGCGGUUUGUCGCGUCUGCUGUGAAAUCCGGAGGCUCAACCUCCGGCCUGCAGUGGGUACGGGCAGACUAGAGUGCGGUAGGGGAGAUUGGAAUUCCUGGUGUAGCGGUGGAAUGCGCAGAUAUCAGGAGGAACACCGAUGGCGAAGGCAGAUCUCUGGGCCGUAACUGACGCUGAGGAGCGAAAGGGUGGGGAGCAAACAGGCUUAGAUACCCUGGUAGU